rnacentral:rRNA from 1 species
GUGCACGCUGGCGGUAGGCCUAACACAUGCAGGUCGCACGGCAGCACAGUAAGAGCUUGCUCUUACGGGUGGCGAGUGGCGGACGGGUGAGGAAUACAUCGGAAUCUACUUUUUCGUGGGGGAUAACGUAGGGAAACUUACGCUCAUACCGCAUACGACCUACGGGUGAAAGCAGGGGAUCUUCGGACCUUGCGCGAUUGAAUGAGCCGAUGUCGGAUUAGCUAGUUGGCGGGGUAAAGGCCCACCAAGGCGACGAUCCGUAGCUGGUCUGAGAGGAUGAUCAGCCACACUGGAACUGAGACACGGUCCAGACUCCUACGGGAGGCAGCAGUGGGGAAUAUUGGACAAUGGGCGCAAGCCUGAUCCAGCCAUACCGCGUGGGUGAAGAAGGCCUUCGGGUUGUAAAGCCCUUUUGUUGGGAAAGAAAAGCAGCAGGUUAAUACCCCGCUGUUCUGACGGUACCCAAAGAAUAAGCACCGGCUAACUUCGUG